rnacentral:lncRNA from 1 species
AAAAAAACACCAUCAUAGGAACUGAUCCAUAAAAAUAAUUUAUAACAUCCAUUCAUAAUAAAAAAAACUUUCAGAAAAUCAGGAUUAGAAGGAAAUAUCCUCAACCUAUAUCAGGCCAUUAUGAAAAAACCUGCAAGUAAAAUUAUGCCUAAUGGUAAGAGAGUAAAUGCUUUUGUCCUAAGAUCAGGAUCAAGGCAAGUAUGUUGCCCUCCCUACCCUAGUCAACAUUAUACUGAAGAUCCUAGCCAGUAAGUACAAUAAGGUAAGAAAAAGAAGUAAAGGCAUCUAGCCUGGGAAAAGAAAUAAACUGUCCUUAUUCAUAACUACAUGAUUGUUUAUGUAGAAAAUACCAAACCAUCUAUAAAAGAGCUACUAGCACUAAUAUGUGAGCUUAUUAGAAAGGUUCCAGGAUACAAAGCCAAUAUGGAAAGAUCAAUUACACUUCUAUAAACUAGCAAUGAGCAAUAGGAAAAUGAAAUACAAAACAACUAGGUACAUACACACACCCCAUUUAUAUUACCUUGUAAGAACAUAAAACACAGGGGAAAAUUAAACAAAAUAUGUGCAAGACCUAUCCAUUCAAAACUAUCAAAUAUUACUGAAAUAAAAUUUAAAAGAACUGAAAUAGACGGAUAUACCAUAUUCAUGAUUUAGAAGGCUCAAUAUUGCACAUCAAUUAUCCACAAAUUCCAUGCAAUGUCAAAAUCCCCUGCAGGCUUUUUUGCAAAAAUUGACAAGCUGAUUCUAAAAUUUCUAGGAAAAUACCAAGGACCUAGACUAGUUAAAACAUUACAAAAAGGAAGAACAAAGUAAGAGGACUCAUACUACCUGAUUUAAACACAUAAUAUAAGGCUACAGCAAUUAAGACAUGUGGUACAGAGUGACACAUAUGUUCAAAUACUUUUCAAAAAGGAUGCCAAAGUAAGUUAAUUAAGAAAGAACAGUCUAGAAUAGACUGAAUAUUUGAUAGUAACUUAUCUUUCUUACUUAACCUCUCUUCUGCUCUGGUUAAUCUGCUAUUAA